rnacentral:ncRNA from 2 species
GGUUGAGCAUAUGCUUUCAAGGAUUUUUCUUCAGGGGCGGGAAGAA